GAUGAACGCUGGCGGCGUGCCUAAUACAUGCCAGUCGAGCGGACGGACGAGAAUCUUGCGGGUCUGAUGUGAGCGGCGGACGGGUGAGUAACACGUGUAUAACCUACCUAUAAGACGGGGAUAACUUCGGGAAACCGGAUCUAAUACCGUAGGAUAUUUUGAACCACAGGGUGGAAAGGUAAAAGACGGUCGUGGGGGCACGUAUAGAGGGAUCCGCGCUUCAUGGUCUAGUUGGUGAGUUAACGGCUUACCAAGGCAACGAUGCAUAGGCGACCUGAUAGGGUGAUAGCCCACCUUGGAACUGAGCCAACGUCCAGACUCCUACGGGAGGCAGCAGUAGGGAAUCUUCCGCAAUGGGCGAAAGCAUGACGGAGCAACGGCGCGUGAGUGAUGAAGGUCUUCGGAUCGUAAAACCCUGUUAUUAGGGAAGAACAUAUGUGUAAGUAACUGUGCACAUAUUGACGGUACCUAAUAAGAAAGCCACGGCUAACUACGUG
rnacentral:rRNA from 1 species